AAUGUACUUCCUCCGUUCUAAAUUACUUGUCGUAUGUAUGGAUGUAUUUAGAUGUAUUUUAGUUUUAGAUACAUCCAUUUCUACGAUGAGUAAUUUGAAACGGAGCGAGUAUAAG
rnacentral:pre_miRNA from 1 species